rnacentral:misc_RNA from 1 species
UUUCCGUAGGUGAACCUGCGGAAGGAUCAUUCAUAAUAAGUGUUUUAUGGCACUUUUUUAAAUCCAUAUCCACCUUGUGUGCAAUGUCAGGGUUGAUUUUUCUCUCGAGAGGAUCAGCCCCAAACAUUAACUAUAUCUCAACUCUUUGUCUGAAAAAUAUUAUGAAUAAAACAAUUCAAAUACAACUUUCAACAACGGAUCUCUUGGCUCUC